UACAGAGGUCUCAAGCGUUGUUCGGAUUCAUUGGGCGUAAAGGGUGCGUAGGUGGCGGGGCAAGUUUGGUGUGAAAUCCCGGGGCUCAACCUCGGAACUGCACUGAAUACUGCCUUGCUAGAGCACUGGAGAGGGAACUGGAAUUUACGGUGUAGCAGUGAAAUGCGUAGAUAUCGUAAGGAAGACCAGUGGCGAAGGCGAGUUCCUGGACAGUUGCUGACACUGAGCACGAAGGCUAGGGGAGCAAACGGG
rnacentral:rRNA from 1 species